rnacentral:tRNA from 1 species
GCUCCAGUGGUGAAAUCGGUCAGCGCGUGGAACUUAUAAGCAGUACAAUGCUAAACAAUGCUGAGGUUGUGAGCUCAAACCUCACCUGGAGCA